AACGAACGCUGGCGGCAGACUUAACACAUGCAAGUCGAACGGGCGUAGCAAUACGUCAGUGGCAGACGGGUGAGUAACACGUGGGAACCUUCCUAGGGGUACGGAACAACUCAGGGAAACUUGAGCUAAUACCGUAUACGUCCGAGAGGAGAAAGAUUUAUCGCCCUUAGACGGGCCCGCGUCGGAUUAGGUAGUUGGUGGGGUAACGGCCUACCAAGCCGACGAUCCGUAGCUGAUCUGAGAGGAUGAUCAGCCACACUGGGACUGAGACACGGCCCAGACUCCUACGGGAGGCAGCAGUGGCGAAUCUUGGACAAUGGGCGCAAGCCUGAUCCAGCCAUGCCGCGUGAGUGAAGAAGGCCUUAGGGUUGUAAAGCUCUUUUGGCAGGGACGAUAAUGACGGUACCUGCAGAAUAAGCCCCGGCAAACUUCGUGCCAGCCGCCGCGGUAAAAC
rnacentral:rRNA from 1 species